rnacentral:rRNA from 1 species
GACGAACGCUGGCGGCGUGCUUAACACAUGCAAGUCGAACGGAAAGGCCCUGCUUGCAGGGUACUCGAGUGGCGAACGGGUGAGUAACACGUGGGUGAUCUGCCCUGCACUUCGGGAUAAGCCUGGGAAACUGGGUCUAAUACCGGAUAGGAGCCAUUUUUAGUGUGAUGGUUGGAAAGUUUUUUCGGUGUAGGAUGAGCUCGCGGCCUAUCUGCUUGUUGGUGGGGUAAUGGCCUACCAAGGCGGCGACGGGUAGCCGGCCUGAGAGGGUGGACGGCCACAUUGGGACUGAGAUACGGCCCAGACUCCUACGGGAGGCAGCAGUGGGGAAUAUUGCACAAUGGGCGCAAGCCUGAUGCAGCGACGCCGCGGGGGGGAUGACGGCCUUCGGGUUGUAAAAUCCUUUCGCUAGGGACGAAGCUUUUUGUGACGGUACCUAGAUAAGAAGCACCGGCUAACUACGUG